rnacentral:rRNA from 1 species
AACGAACGCUGGCGGCGCGCCUAAUACAUGCAAGUCGAGCGAGAAGACGUAGCAAUACGUUUGUAAAGCGGCGAACGGGUGAGGAAUACAUGGGUAACCUACCCUCGAGUGGGGAAUAACUAGCCGAAAGGUUAGCUAAUACCGCGUACGCUCCUUGGACUUCGGUUCAGGGAGGAAAGCGAUACCGUGGGUAUCGCGCUCUUGGAUGGGCUCAUGUCCUAUCAGCUUGUUGGNGAGGUAACGGCUCACCAAGGCUUCGACGGGUAGCUGGUCUGAGAGGACGAUCAGCCACACUGGCACUGCGACACGGGCCAGACUCCUACGGGAGCAGCAGUAAGGAAUAUUGCGCAAUGGGC